ensembl:lncRNA
GAGGCAGGGCAUGGGUGCUGUGAGCUGGGGAGAGCUGCAGGUGUGGGACACGGUCACAUUCGGGUUAGAAAAUCCUGAGGUUUAUUUUUUCAGUGAUGGAGAAGGCACCGCCAUCCCGGGCAAAUUGCUGCCUUCAUUAAGAGCUCUUGAGAUGGGAAAUGAAUCAGUUUAAGUCACACCAGGCUGAACGUUGACUUCCAGCUCUGGGAACUCUUGAUAAGUUUGCCUGCUCGAUUGCAGAGUGGCCCCCUAUAAGAUUUCAGAGCACCAGAACGAAAUAAAACCCGUCUAAUUGCUGCCAUCUGAGCCGGAGGACUGCAAACAGAGAUGUGAAGGAGGCAGCACGGCUUGGAGCUGUAAAAUCCUCAGCACUCAUCCAUGGGUCACAACGGGGGAGGCACAAAUCUUUCCUCCAGCCCACCAAAGCGCUGUGCUCAGCGGGAAGGAGGGGCUCGAUGGAAUAUUCUGCCAUGAAGCAGAAGACUUCGCAGGGGGAAAAAAAGUGAAAAGAUACACAACAGUGGAGCUGCUUUCUUGGCUAAGCAUGAGGAAAACUGCAGGAGUCUGUGUUACUUACUCACUUGUGCAAAAUGUGCUUAGUUCCACAAAUGCAGCGGUGCCAGUCCUGCAGGUGUGUUAGCAGGUGAUAAGUGCUGUUCACGCGCUGAGUAAUGUGCUGGGGAAAGAAAUGACCACGUUUCAGAGCUGCUGUGAUAGACGUGCAUCCCUCCCAGCCAACCCCGGACUGCAAGGAGACCACGCUGCAAAGCAAUGGAUCUGGGCAGAGCUUGGCCAGGCAGGUGAUUCUGCUCUGUAGUGAGACGUUGCAGAGUGCAGCUCCCUUCAAAGGGAUUUAAAUAAUGUUGACAUCGAAUAUAAGAAUCUUACAAGGAAAUAAAAUCCCUCUCCGGGUCUGUUUGCCCUUCUGAGGGGAAAUCAAUGUUCUCAGCUCAAUAGUUUCCCGCAGCACUUAGCAGAGAUGUGCAUGUUAUUGGUAGCACCGCCCAUGAAUUUCCUCCUGCAGGUCAAGUCUUUUAAGGACUACAAACCUGCAGGGCCUUGGCCCCUUCCUGGCAGGGCAUAGGGUGUGCUAUGGGGGUACCCUGCAGGUGCUGUGGAUAUUGCAGCUCUUCAUUAAACGGGAGGAGCCCAUUGUGUUGUCCUUCAAACACCAGUAGAUUAAUGAAGACUAAUUACAGCCCAGGCCAGUGAGCACCGGGCACUGUU